rnacentral:rRNA from 1 species
AGACUGCCGGUGACAAACCGGAGGAAGGGUGGGGAUGACGUCAAGUCAUCAUGGCCCUUACGGCCUGGGCUACACACGUGCUACAAUGGUCGGUACAAAGGGUUGCCAAGCCGCGAGGUGGAGCUAAUCCCAUAAAAACCGAUCGUAGUCCGGAUCGCAGUCUGCAACUCGACUGCGUGAAGUCGGAAUCGCUAGUAAUCGUGAAUCAGAAUGUCACGGUGAAUACGUUCCCGGGCCUU